GAUGAACGCUGGCGGCGUGCCUAAUACAUGCAAGUCGAGCGAACAGACGAGGAGCUUGCUCCUCUGACGUUAGCGGCGGACGGGUGAGUAACACGUGGAUAACCUACCUAUAAGACUGGGAUAACGUCGGGAAACCGGAUCUAAUACCGGAUAAUAUAUUGAACCGCAUGGUUCAAUAGUGAAAGACGGUUUUGCUGUCACUUAUAGAUGGAUCCGCGCCGCAUUAGCUAGUUGGUAAGGUAACGGCUUACCAAGGCAACGAUGCGUAGCCGACCUGAGAGGGUGACCAGCCACACUGGAACUGAGACACGGCCCAGACUCCUACGGGAGGCAGCAGUAGGGAAUUUUGCACAAUGGGCGAAAGCCUGACCGAGCAACGCCGCGUGAGUGAUGAAGGUCUUCGGAUCGUAAAACUCUGUUAUCAGGGACGAACAAAUGUGUAAGUAAAUAUGCACGUCUUGACGGUACCUAAACAGAAAGCCACGGCUAACUACGUG
rnacentral:rRNA from 1 species